rnacentral:rRNA from 1 species
UGGGGAAUAUUGGACAAUGGGCGAAAGCCUGAUCCAGCAAUGCCGCGUGUGUGAAGAAGGUCUUCGGAUUGUAAAGCACUUUCGACGGGGACGAUGAUGACGGUACCCGUAGAAGAAGCCCCCGGCUAACUACGUGCCAG